rnacentral:Y_RNA from 1 species
GGCUGGUCCAAAUGCAGUGGUGUUUACAACUGAUUGAUCACAACCAGUUACAGAUUCCUUUGUUCCUUCUCCACUCCCACUGCUUUACUUGGCUAGCCUAAG